AUCGAACGCUGGCGGCAGGCCUAACACAUGCAAGUCGAGCGAGCGGCGGACGGGUGAGUAAUGUCUGGGAAACUGCCUGAUGGAGGGGGAUAACUACUGGAAACGGUAGCUAAUACCGCAUACCAUCAGAUGUGCCCAGAUGGGAUUAGCUAGUAGGUGGGGUAACGGCUCACCUAGACAACGAUCCCUAGCUGGUCUGACAGGCUGACCAGCCACACUGGAACGGAGAAAGGGUCCAGACUCCAACGGGAGGCAGCAGUGGGGAAUAUUGCACAAUGGGCGCAGGCCUGAUGCAGCCAUGCCGCGUGUAUGAAGAAGGCCUUCGGGUUGUAAAGUACUUUCAGCGGGGAGGCGUUACCCGCAGAAGAAGCACCGGCUAACUCCGUGCCAGCAGCCGCGGUAAUAC
rnacentral:rRNA from 1 species